AGUGAACGCUGGCGGUAUGCCUAACACAUGCAAGUCGAACGGCAGCACAUUAAGAGCUUGCUCUUACGGGUGGCGAGUGGCGGACGGGUGAGGAAUACGUCGGAAUCUCCUUUUUCGUGGGGGAUAACGUAGGGAAACAUACGCUAAUACCGCAUACGACCUACGGGUGAAAGCAUGACAUCUUCGGACCUUGCUCGAUUGAAUGAGCCGAUGUCGGAUUAGCUAGUUGGCGGGGUAAAGGCCCACCAAGGCGACGAUCCGUAGCUGGUCUGAGAGGAUGAUCAGCCACACUGGAACUGAGACACGGUCCAGACUCCUACGGGAGGCAGCAGUGGGGAAUAUUCGACAAUGGGCGCAAGCCUGAUCCAGCCAUACCGCGUGGGUGAAGAAGGCCUUCGGGUUGUAAAGCCCUUUUGUUGGGAAAGAAAAGCAGCAGGUUAAUACCCCGAUGUUCUGACGGUACCCAAAGAAAAAGCACCGGCUAACUUCGUG
rnacentral:rRNA from 1 species